CCUACGGGUGGCAGCAGUGGGGAAUAUUGCACAAUGGGGGAAACCCUGAUGCAGCGACGCCGCGUGAGUGAAGAAGUAUUUCGGUAUGUAAAGCUCUAUCAGCAGGGAAGAAAAUGACGGUACCUGACUAAGAAGCCCCGGCUAACUACGGGCCAGCAGCCGCGGUAAUACUGAGGGGGCAAGGGUUAGCCGGAUUUCCUGGGUGGAAAGGGAGCGUAGACGGCCAGACAAGUCAGAAGUGAAAGCCCCGGGCCCAACCCUGGGACUGCCUUUGAAACUUCCGGGCUGGAGUGCAGGAGAGGUAAGCGGAAUUCCUAGUGUAGCGGUGAAAUGCGUAGAUAUUAGGAGGAACACCAGUGGCGAAGGCGGCUUACUGGACUGUAACUGACGUUGAGGCUCGAAAGCGUGGGGAGCAAACAGGAUUAGAUACCCUUGUAGUC
rnacentral:rRNA from 1 species